CGCCAAAUGAAAUGAAAUCCACGAAACCAAAAUGAGAAAUAUCGUCCAAUGGGUGGCAGACUUAAAAUUAUCAUAUUCUACUUUUUUCUUCCUCUUCUUCCC
rnacentral:ribozyme from 16 species